rnacentral:rRNA from 1 species
UACGUAGGGUGCAAGCGUUGUCCGGAAUUAUUGGGCGUAAAGAGCUCGUAGGCGGUCUGUCGCGUCUGCUGUGAAAACUCAGGGCUUAACCCUGAGCUUGCAGUGGGUACGGGCAGACUAGAGUGCGGUAGGGGAGACUGGAAUUCCUGGUGUAGCGGUGAAAUGCGCAGAUAUCAGGAGGAACACCGAUGGCGAAGGCAGGUCUCUGGGCCACUACUGACGCUGAGAAGCGAAAGCGUGGGGAGCAAACAGG